UGCUUUUACAUGGAAACAGGUAAAACUAAAUGUACCAUGGUGUAAGUUUGCAGAUGAAAGCUUUGAUAGGAGCAAAUUAGGUGUAAUUAACUUGAGGUAUGGACUUGACAAGUAGCACUUGAAAGAAAAGGGGUCUAUAUAAGUAAAAGUAAUUAAGCAAAUCGGAGUAUGAAUUUGGAGGAACAUGAUGACAUCUAAUUACAAUAAGCGAGGUAUAGGUGAGUUUAAGAGUUAUAAGAUCUUUGGUGCAAAGGAACAAUGGCUUUCAUGAUUUUAAACAUAGUAUUAAGUGUAUGGAAGCAUUGGGUGUUUUAUGUGAUAAGAGAAUUUCAAUGAAACUUAAAUAUAAGUUCUACAAUUGUGGUGAGACCAUGU